rnacentral:rRNA from 1 species
GACGAACGCUGGCGGCGUGCCUAAUACAUGCAAGUCGAGCGAAUCUGAGGGAGCUUGCUCCCAAAGAUUAGCGGCGGACGGGUGAGUAACACGUGGGCAACCUGCCUGUAAGACUGGGAUAACUCCGGGAAACCGGGGCUAAUACCGGAUAAUAUCUAUUUAUACAUAUAAUUAGAUUGAAAGAUGGUUCUGCUAUCACUUACAGAUGGGCCCGCGGCGCAUUAGCUAGUUGGUGAGGUAACGGCUCACCAAGGCGACGAUGCGUAGCCGACCUGAGAGGGUGAUCGGCCACACUGGGACUGAGACACGGCCCAGACUCCUACGGGAGGCAGCAGUAGGGAAUCUUCCGCAAUGGACGAAAGUCUGACGGAGCAACGCCGCGUGAGUGAUGAAGGUUUUCGGAUCGUAAAACUCUGUUGUUAGGGAAGAACAAGUACCGGAGUAACUGCCGGUACCUUGACGGUACCUAACCAGAAAGCCACGGCUAACUACGUGCCAGCCGCCGCAGUAAAAC